rnacentral:piRNA from 1 species
UUUGGAACUAGGAGUUGGAAUAGGAGCUUG